UGCGUAGGCGGAUCAAUAAGUCAGUGGUGAAAUCUUUCGGCUCAACCGAGAAACUGCCAUUGAUACUGUUAAUCUUGAGUUCGGUUGAGGUAGGCGGAAUGUGUAAUGUAGCGGUGAAAUGCUUAGAUAUUACACAGAACACCAAUUGCGUAGGCAGCUUACUAGACCGACACUGACGCUGAGGCACGAAAGCGUAGGGAGCGAACAGGAUUAGAUACCCUGGUAGUCC
rnacentral:rRNA from 1 species